CAGCAUUUACUUUGGUAUUCCUGAUGUGUGUCCUAGUAAAUCACUAUUUCCUAAGAGGCAAUUAUCCUGUUGGGGUGCUGGGCAACAAUUCUUCCAUCUACACAUUCAAGUGGUGUUCUCAUGUUUGGGUUCAUACACCUCAAUAAAAUUUUAACUACACAGAUUUAGGGUUUCUGUAGUAUGUAGUUCUGCAUAUAGUAAUAAUUAUUCCUAAUGUUGCUUUAUCAAUGAAAUACUUAAUUUUCAUUGUUUAUAACUCUGCUAAAUUAAAAAAAUGUCAAAUUAUGUUUUCAUUUCAGCUGUUUCUCCUGCUAACCCUACAUCAAGGGACUUUACUUUAGAUUUAACUGUCUGAAGAUUAAUUUGCACAGAUUUGGUCACACAAAAGAAAUACCUCACCUGUUUUACUGUAGCUGUCUCUCCUAAUUUCCAGGGGCUCCUUUGGCAACAAAACCAAAAGAAGGAAGAAUCUCCUGUAAUGUUAAUUAAUCUUUAGCCUACUGGUGUCUGAUGAACACAUGGGAAAGAACAGCUGGUCUCAGUGCAAGAUACAUGGGCUUAGUGAUGAGGAAAAGGUAACAGAGAAGAUGAAUUUCCAGGACUGGAAAAUAGGACAGCAAAGAAUGGAUUUGGAGCAUGAAAAGAUGGAGGAUUAUGGCCAGACAUUGGAGAGAGACAAGGGUUGAGCCAUGUGACUUGGCACACUCAGACACAGAGGAAGCUAUGCUGGUUCCAGUGAUUCUGUGGCUGCUUCAAAGCAUGAUAAAUCAGGCUAUGCCUGGAGAUGGUUACAGUCUGAAGGCCUCCUGGUUAUUAAAAUGAGAUCAAUAAUUUUUAAGCAAGCAAUAUUUGAAAAAUGGUUGAGCUGAAUCUGAAAUCAAUUAGUAUAAAAUAUUAUACUGGGCAUUUUAACACAAAAGGGGAGGGUCUAUUGAUAAAACUUGUUCAUCAAGAAUGAAAUGGAUUUUCAGGCUGAGCUGCACUAAUUUCAACACAGCUACAACAAAUUACUCAGUCUGUCUCUGAAGAGAAAAAUCAGUUACUUCAGUUUAUAGUGUGUAAACAUUUGAUAAACAAAAAUCCUAACUAGAUACUCUAAAAUGAUAACUUCAAGGAAUAUGAUGGAGAUGCAUUUAGACAGUUGUCAUGUGUUUAAAAUCUGAAUAAACAUCAGAUAUUAAUCA
rnacentral:lncRNA from 1 species